GACGAACGCUGGCGGCAGGCCUAACACAUGCAAGUCGAACGAGUGGCGGACGGGUUAGUAAGGUCUGGGAAACGGCCCGAUGGAGGGGGAUAACUACUGGAAACGGUAUCUACUACCGCAUAGCAUCGGAUGGGCCCAGUUGGGAUUAGCUAGUAGGUGGGGGAACGGCUGACCUAGGCGACGAUCCCGAGCUGGUCUGAGAGGAUGACCAGCCACACUGGAACUGAGAAACGGUCCAGACUCCUACGGGAGGCAGCAGUGGGGAAUAUUGCACAAUGGGCGAAAGCCUGAUGCAGCCAUGCCGCGUGUGUGAAGAAGGUCUUCGGGUUGUAAAGUACUUUCAGUGAGGAGGCGUUACUCACAGAAGAAGCACCGGCUAACUCCGUGCCAGCAGCCGCGGUAAUUC
rnacentral:rRNA from 1 species